CACGUUUCAAAUCCAAUUAACGUUGAUCGAUUCUCGAACGUGUAACAGAAAGGUGUGCUCGAAGUGAAUGUAUACGCAUCGAAUCACGAAUCAUUACGUUGAAAAUCAGCCUCGUCGAACUGUAACUGUGCCGUGGUCAACUAAUAAUCAAUUCGUGCCCUUCAACGGCCGCAAUAAAUUUAUUAUCGGUGGAGCCGGCCGACAGAACGAUCCUCGCCAUUAUAGAUCGAUGUGUGCGCAAGCGUGACAAACAUCGAGAGGAUUGGAUCUCGAUGUAUGGCGAGUUGAUUGCAUUUGCAUAUAUCCAUUACGCGAACAUUCGAAAAAAUGGGAUUUCUUUUGAAGAUUGGAUGCGUGGCUUCCUGUGUAUUUUUCGCUGGAUACACAGUUACAACGUAGCGAUUUAUUCGUUUUUUUUUUCAUCCUUGCUUGCACCACUCAUAAUCGAAGACUUCGAUGUUCAACUUAGAUGUCAUAAAUCACGCGGUAGCUUGAUUUCAAGCUAGAUGAAAUGAUUGGUUAAAUAAAAUUAUUCGAACCAAAAAGAGAGAGAAAGAAGAAUUUGUCGUUGUAUUGAAAAUCAUAGCGUUGUUAGGUUAGGUUACAAAAGAAAGAAGCAUCAAGUUAAGUGAAAAAGGAUUAGAGAGGGAUAAGUCGAAGCAUCGAAAAAAGGUUUCACGAUCAGGACGUUGUUUCGUCGCUAUUAUUACGCCACACAAAAUUGGUCAAUCACAACGAAUACGAGUAAUUUACGUCAAAUGAACCUCACCAGGAAACUGUCCCGACUUGGAGCGUGACCGUUGUACGAUCUAUCGAUCCUCGUAUUAGCCGAGGGAUCCAUUAUGUUGCAGCUUCACCAUCUUCUCUAUGCAAAAAGAAUCUCAUACAUGGAAUCUCUAUUUUAGAAUCAAAGUUUUGUGUAAGAAAAAAGAAAUGGUUCUUGAAUCGAAAUCAAUAUAUUUAUUUGGCUGGAUUUAAUUCAGGUUAAAUGAAGCUAACACCAAGAUUUAUAAAAACAUAUAUGUAUCAUUGAAUUUCUCUUUUCGUAUGCAAAAACAAGAUCGUUACAAGAUUCAUCAUGCUGGCAGAAAAUAAACAAUACGAUAAAAAUUUGUAGAGAUUCCUGUUAAAAAAAAAAAAAAAAAAAAGAAAAAAGAGAAAAAUAAUUCUCAAGAAGAUUAUACUGCCGACGACAGUACCCUUUUACAAAUUAAUGCACGCUCGUGGGCGUAGACCCGCCACAUCUCGUGCAUAAGCACACGUUUUUCGUGAUGGGUCGGGCACGGGGAGGAAUCGGCUCAUUUGUUGCGUAUUAGCGGAGGAUAAUUAGGUUUCUCGAGACUGCCGCCUUUUGCGAAAGGCAAGCGACUUCAAGAGUCUUCCGAAAAAAAGAGAGGAGGGAAACGAAUGAGCUACGCCUACCCCUAGAAAUUUUCGUCGUGAGAAGGAAAAUCUCGAAAAUCACCGGUUGCCAAUCGAAAGUUAAUCGAUUCCGACGAUUUUACAUUUUCCUUGUCGAUAUAAUAAGAAAAGAUAAACAAGAUCGACUUAUAAU